CCUACGGGUGGCAGCAGUGAGGAAUAUUGGUCAAUGGUCGGGAGACUGAACCAGCCAAGCCGCGUGAGGGAGGAAGGUACAGAGUAUCGUAAACCUCUUUUGUCAGGGAACAAAGGCGGGGACGUGUCCCCGGAUGAGUGUACCUGAAGAAAAAGCAUCGGCUAACUCCGUGCCAGCAGCCGCGGUAAUACGGAGGAUGCGAGCGUUAUCCGGAUUUAUUGGGUUUAAAGGGUGCGCAGGCGGUUGGUUAAGUCAGUGGUAAAAGCCCGGGGCUCAACCCCGGCCCGCCGUUGAAACUGGCAGUCUCGAGUUGGAGAGAGGUAUGCGGAAUGCGCGGUGUAGCGGUGAAAUGCAUAGAUAUCGCGCAGAACUCCGAUUGCGAAGGCAGCAUGCCGGCUCCACACUGACGCUGAGGCACGAAAGCGUGGGUAUCGAACAGGAUUAGAUACCCGAGUAGUC
rnacentral:rRNA from 1 species